GGCGAACGGGUGAGUAAUGCAUCGGAACAUGUCCAGUCGUGGGGGAUAGCCCGCCGAAAGGCGGAUUAAUACCGCAUACGCCCGGGAGGGGAAAGCAGGGGACCGCAAGGCCUUGCGCGAUUGGGUUGGCCGAUGUCCGAUUAGCUAGUUGGUGGGGUAAAGGCUUACCAAGGCGAUGAUCGGUAGCUGGUCUGAGAGGAUGAUCAGCCACACUGGGACUGAGACACGGCCCAGACUCCUACGGGAGGCAGCAGUGGGGAAUUUUGGACAAUGGGGGCAACCCUGAUCCAGCCAUUCCGCGUGAGUGAAGAAGGCCUUCGGGUUGUAAAGCUCUUUUGUCCGGAGCGAAACGGGCGCGGCUAAUACCUGCGUCUACUGACGGUACCGGAAGAAUAAGCACCGGCUAACUACGUGCCAGCAGCCGCGGUAAUACGUAGGGUGCGAGCGUUAAUCGGAAUUACUGGGCGUAAAGCGUGCGCAGGCGGUUUUGUAAGCC
rnacentral:rRNA from 1 species